rnacentral:lncRNA from 1 species
UUAUUUCAGCUUUAUAUAAUCACUAAUCCUUGUGAAUUGUGAAAUCAAAACCAUCAACCUUCUCCAUUUUCACAUUACUUUCUAUUGAAUUCGACCUACAAUCUCAACAUGGCAAUGAAGGUUUAUCUUACCCUUUUCGUGUUUCUUUUUAUUUACAUGAAUAUUCUCUCUUCUACUGCAGUUCCGAUGUCAAGGGGUAAAUUAUACUUUUCAAUGCAGAACUUUGUCCUUAUUUCCUAUCAUUAUUUUAACAUCAACUAAAUCACGUAUAAUGGCAUGAAAUAUGAAAUUUAUCAUUGUUUUUUUACCGGGUUUAGGGCAAAGCUUUGUUUCAAAUAAAGAAGAGCUGCCCAACAAAAAAUUCUUUCAGGUUUUCCCUCAGUUUUUGUUGUUAUUAUUAUCAUUAUAACUACUACAUUCGUUGUAUUUUCACUUGAAUCUAAUUCUUGGUACUUUGUGAAGGGCAUCAGAAAAGUUGAAGUGGCAAAUCCUAAAGGAAAUGAGAAAGAAAGCCUAAAGAUGGAGGUCAGCAUUGACUAUUCAGGCGCUAAACCCAACAGACCAUGCGAUCCAAAAGAUCCAGCAGGCUGUCCUCCAUCUGGGGCGGGAAUUAAAAAAUAAAAUAAAAUCAUUGUGGAACAAUUUUCUAUUUUUGCUAACUAAAAUUUCAAUGGAAAUCUAUCUUAGCACUUGUUUGGUCUCCAGUAUUUCUAUAAUAUAUUUUCCUC